rnacentral:rRNA from 1 species
AACGAACGCUGGCGGCACGCUUAACACAUGCAAGUCGAACGCAAAGCGGUUUUCCGUUUUGAGUGGCGAACGAGUGAGUAAUGUAUGGGAAUUUGCCCUUUGGUGGGGGAUAACUGUGAGAAAUCGCAGCUAAUACCGCAUAAGCUUGGCAACAAGGAAAGAUUUAUUGCCAGAGGAUAAGCCCAUAUCAGAUUAGGUAGUUGGUGAGGUAAUGGCUCACCAAGCUUAUGAUCUGUAGCUGGUCUGAGAGGAUGGUCAGCCACACUGGGAUUGAGAUACGGCCCAGACUCCUACGGGAGGCAGCAGUGAGGAAUAUUGGACAAUGGGGAAACCCUGAUCCAGCGAUGCCGCGUGAAUGAAGAAGGCCUUCGGGUUGUAAAGUUACGUUUCACUCGUGAAGAUAAUGACGGUAGCGAGAGAAGAAGACUCCGGCUAACU